rnacentral:rRNA from 1 species
GACGAACGCUGGCGGCGUGCUUAACACAUGCAAGUCGAACGGAAAGGCCCUGCUUUUGUGGGGUGCUCGAGUGGCGAACGGGUGAGUAACACGUGAGUAACCUGCCCUUGACUUUGGGAUAACUUCAGGAAACUGGGGCUAAUACCGGAUAGGAGCUCCUGCUGCAUGGUGGGGGUUGGAAAGUUUCGGCGGUUGGGGAUGGACUCGCGGCUUAUCAGCUUGUUGGUGGGGUAGUGGCUUACCAAGGCUUUGACGGGUAGCCGGCCUGAGAGGGUGACCGGCCAUAUUGGGACUGAGAUACGGCCCAGACUCCUACGGGAGGCAGCAGUGGGGAAUAUUGCACAAUGGGCGGAAGCCUGAUGCAGCAAGGCCGCGUGCGGGAUGACGGCCUUCGGGUUGUAAACCGCUUUCGCCUGUGACGAAGCGUGAGUGACGGUAAUGGGUAAAGAAGCACCGGCUAACUACGUG